GACGAACGCUGGCGGCGUGCUUAACACAUGCAAGUCGAACGGAAAGGCCCUGCUUUUGUGGGGUGCUCGAGUGGCGAACGGGUGAGUAACACGUGAGUAACCUGCCCUUGACUUUGGGAUAACUUCAGGAAACUGGGGCUAAUACCGGAUAGGAGCUCCUGCUGCAUGGUGGGGGUUGGAAAGUUUCGGCGGUUGGGGAUGGACUCGCGGCUUAUCAGCUUGGUGGUGGGGUAGUGGCUUACCAAGGCUUUGACGGGUAGCCGGCCUGGGAGGGUGGCCGGCCACAUUGGGACUGAGGUACGGCCCAGACGCCUAUGGGAGGCAGCAGGGGGGAAUAUUGCACAAUGGGCGGAAGCCUGAUGCAGCAACGCCGCGUGCGGGAUGACGGCCUUCGGGUUGUAAACCGCUUUCGCCUGUGACGAAGCGUGAGUGACGGUAAUGGGUAAAGAAGCACCGGCUAACUACGUG
rnacentral:rRNA from 1 species